rnacentral:rRNA from 1 species
UACAGAGGGGGCAAGCGUUGUUCGGAAUUACUGGGCGUAAAGGGCGCGUAGGCGGCCCGCUAAGUCGAACGUGAAAUCCCCGAGCUCAACUCGGGAACUGCGUCCGAAACUACCGGACUUGAAUACUGGAGAGGGUCGCGGAAUUCCCGGUGUAGAGGUGAAAUUCGUAGAUAUCGGGAGGAACACCAGUGGCGAAGGCGGCGACCUGGACAGAUAUUGACGCUGAGGUGCGAAAGCGUGGGGAGCAAACAGG